UACGUAGGGUGCAAGCGUUAAUCGGAAUUACUGGGCGUAAAGCGUGCGCAGGCGGUUUGGUAAGACAGAUGUGAAAUCCCCGGGCUUAACCUGGGAAUUGCAUUUGUGACUGCCCGGCUAGAGUGUGUCAGAGGGGGGUAGAAUUCCACGUGUAGCAGUGAAAUGCGUAGAGAUGUGGAGGAAUACCGAUGGCGAAGGCAGCCCCCUGGGAUAACACUGACGCUCAUGCACGAAGCGUGGGAGCAACAGG
rnacentral:rRNA from 1 species